rnacentral:tRNA from 2 species
GGGGGUAUAGCUCAGUUGGGAGAGCGCGACGUUCGCAACGUCGAGGCCAGCGGUUCGAUCCCGCUUACCUCCACCA